GGCCGUGACCGCGUCGGCCGUACGCGCCAGGAGGCCCGGGUCCACCUCGGCGAGGUCCGUGACGGUCGGUUCGAGGCCGAUCUCGGCCGC
rnacentral:tRNA from 1 species